rnacentral:rRNA from 1 species
GACCAAGGAGUCUAACAUGUAUGCAAGUCAUUGAGAAUGUUAAACUCAAAGGCGUAAUGAAAGUGAAGAUCCAAUUUUAUGGAUUUGAGGAGAGAUCAAUUUCUGGUUCCUUGCUUUCCGAAAGGUUAGUGAGGCUAGGGUUGCGCAUCUCCUGGACGUCUUAACCUCUGAAGGUGGGGCGUACCUAGAGCAUACACGUUGGGACCCGAAAGAUGGUGAACUAUGCCUGGUCAGAACSAAGUCAGGGGAAACCCUGAUGGAGGUUCGUAGCGAUUCUGACGUGCAAAUCGAUCGUCGGAACUGGGUAUAGGGGCGAAAGACUAAUCGAACCAUCUAGUAGCUGGUUCCCUCCGA